rnacentral:rRNA from 1 species
GACGAACGCUGGCGGCAUGCCUAAUACAUGCAAGUCGAGCGAACAGAUGAAGUGCUUGCACUUCUGACGUUAGCGGCGAACGGGUGAGUAACACGUAAGGAAUCUACCUAUAAGCGGGGGAUAACAUUCGGAAACGGGUGCUAAUACCGCAUAAUAUCUUCUUCCGCAUGGAAGAAGAUUGAAAGACGGCUCUGCUGUCACUUAUAGAUUACCUUGCGUUGAAUUAGUUAGUUGGGUGGGUAAGGGCCUACCACGCCGAUGAUGCAUAGCCGACCUGAUAGGGUGUCCGGCCACAUUGGGACUGAGACACGGACCAAACUCCUACGGGAGGCACCAGUAGGGAAUCUUCCGCAAUGGGCGAAAGCCUGAGUGGGCAAUGCCGCGUGAGUGAAGAAGGCCUUCGGGUCGUAAAACUCUGUUAUAAGAGAAGAACAAAUUGUAGAGUAACUGCUACAGUCUUGACGGUAUCUUAUCAGAAAGCCACGGCUAACUACGUGCCAGCCGCCGCGGUAA